CUCUCAGUCUAGAGUUCGAGAGAGGUGAGUGGAAUUCCAAGUGUAGAGGUGAAAUUCGUAGAUAUUUGGAGGAACACCAGUGGCGAAGGCGGCUCACUGGCUCGAUACUGACGCUGAGGUGCGAAAGUGUGGGGAGCAAACAGGAUUAGAUACCCUGGUAGUCCAUGCCGUAAACGAUGUCUACUAGCCGUUGGGACUCUUGAAGUCUUAGUGGCGCAGCUAACGCACUAAGUAGACCGCCUGGGGAGUACGGCCGCAAGGUUAAAACUCAAAUGAAUUGACGGGGGCCCGCACAAGCGGUGGAGCAUGUGGUUUAAUUUGAUACAACGCGAAGAACCUUACCAGGGUUUGACAU
rnacentral:rRNA from 1 species